rfam:Marinomonas spartinae strain CECT 8886 genome assembly, contig: 0005
AAACUGAAGAGUUUGAUCAUGGCUCAGAUUGAACGCUGGCGGCAGGCUUAACACAUGCAAGUCGAGCGGUAACAGGGGAGCUUGCUCCUGCUGACGAGCGGCGGACGGGUGAGUAACGCGUA